ACCAGACUCCUACGGGAGGCAGCAGUGAGGAAUAUUGGUCAAUGGGCGGAAGCCUGAACCAGCCAAGUCGCGUGAGGGAAUAAGGCCCUACGGGUCGUAAACCUCUUUUGCCGGGGAGCAAGGGCGGGGACGUGUCCCGGCCCGGAGAGUACCCGGAGAAAAAGCAUCGGCUAACUCCGUGCCAGCAGCCGCGGUAAUACGGAGGAUGCGAGCGUUAUCCGGAUUUAUUGGGUUUAAAGGGUGCGUAGGCGGGAUGCUAAGUCAGCGGUAAAAUUGCGGUGCUCAACGCCGUAGAGCCGUUGAAACUGGCGUUCUUGAGUGGGCGAGAAGUAUGCGGAAUGCGCGGUGUAGCGGUGAAAUGCAUAGAUAUCGCGCAGAACUCCGAUUGCGAAGGCAGCGUACCGGCGCCAGACUGACGCUGAGGCACGAAAGCGUGGGGAUCGAACAGGAUUAGAUACCCGAGUA
rnacentral:rRNA from 1 species